AUUGAACGCUGGCGGCAGGCCUAACACAUGCAAGUCGAACGAGUGGCGGACGGGUGAGUAAUGUCUGGGAAACUGCCUGAUGGAGGGGGAUAACUACUGGAAACGGUAGCUAAUACCGCAUACCAUCAGAUGUGCCCAGAUGGGAUUAGCUAGUUGGGGGGGUAACGGCUCACCAAGGCGACGAUCCCUAGCUGGUCUGAGGGGAUGACCAGCCACACUGAAACUGAGACACGGUCCAGACUCCUACGGGAUGCAGCAGUGGGGAAUAUUGCACAAUGGGCGAAAGCCUGAUGCAUCCAUGCCGCGUGUAUGAAGAAGGCCUUCGGGUUGUAAAGUACUUUCAGCGGGGAGGUGUUACCCGCAGAAGAAGCACCGGCUAACUCCGUGCCAGCAGCCGCGGUAAUUC
rnacentral:rRNA from 1 species